GGGCCCGACGACCGUAAGAGUGUGACACACGAUAGGUCGAAGAGUGGUGCAUGGCCGUUAACGACGAGUGGAGUGAUCUUUGGGUUAAGUCCGUAAAUUAGUGAGACCUCAGCCGUAAGGGACAGGUGCGCAAAGCACAGGAAGGAUGGGUCAAGGACAGGUCAGUGAUGCCCUUAGAUGGUCCGGGCUGCACGCGCACUACAGUGGUCGCCGAAAUUAGCUGAUAAUUUUAAAGGCGAUCGAGAGGGAAUGAGCUUUGUAAGAGGCUCAGGAACGAGGAAUUGCUAGUAAUCGCGGACUCAUUAAGACGCGAUGAAUACGUCCCUGUUCUUUGUACACACCGCCCGUCGUUAUCGAAGAUGAAGACAGGCGCGAACGAUCUACCAGAAAGUGAGCGCAGGUCUUUAGAUCUGAUACAAGUCGUAACAAGGUAGCUGUAGGUGAACCUGUAGCUGG
rnacentral:rRNA from 1 species